GAUGAACGCUGGCGGCGUGCCUAAUACAUGCAAGUCGAGCGAACAGAUGAGGAGCUUGCUCCUCUGACGUUAGCGGCGGACGGGUGAGUAACACGUGGAUAACCUACCUAUAAGACUGGGAUAACUUCGGGAAACCGGAGCUAAUACCGGAUAAUAUAUUGAACCGCAUGGUUCAAUAGUGAAAGACGGUUUUGCUGUCUUAUAGAUGGAUCCGCGCCGCAUUAGCUAGUUGGUAAGGUAACGGCUUACCAAGGCAACGAUGCGUAGCCGACCUGAGAGGGUGAUCGGCCACACUGGAACUGAGACACGGUCCAGACUCCUACGGGAGGCAGCAGUAGGGAAUCUUCCGCAAUGGGCGAAAGCCUGACGGAGCAACGCCGCGUGAGUGAUGAAGGUCUUCGGAUCGUAAAACUCUGUUAUUAGGGAAGAACAAAUGUGUAAGUAACUAUGCACGUCUUGACGGUACCUAAUCAGAAAGCCACGGCUAACUACGUG
rnacentral:rRNA from 1 species